GACGAACGCUGGCGGCGUGCUUAACACAUGCAAGUCGAACGGAAAGGCCCUGCUUUUGUGGGGUGCUCGAGUGGCGAACGGGUGAGUAACACGUGAGUAACCUGCCCUUGACUUUGGGAUAACUUCAGGAAACUGGGGCUAAUACCGGAUAGGAGCUCCUGCUGCAUGGUGGGGGUUGGUAAGUUUCGGCGGUUGGGGAUGGACUCGCGGCUUAUCAGCUUGUUGGUGGGGUAGUGGCUUACCAAGGCUUUGACGGGUAGCCGGCCUGAGAGGGUGACCGGCCACAUUGGGACUGAGAUACGGCACAGACUCCUACGGGAGGCAGCAGUGGGGAAUAUUGCACGAUGGGCGGAAGCCUGAUGCAGCAACGCCGCGUGCGGGAUGACGGCCUUCGGGUUGUAAACCGCUUUCGCCUGUGACGAAGCGUGAGUGACGGUAAUGGGUAAAGAAGCACCGGCUAACUAUGUG
rnacentral:rRNA from 1 species